rnacentral:rRNA from 1 species
GACGAACGCUGGCGGCGUGCCUAAUACAUGCAAGUCGAACGCAGUGGGGACGGGUGAGUAACACGUGGGUAACCUCCCAUAAGAGGGGAUAACACUUGGAAACAGGUGCUAAACCGAUACUGAUGGAUGGACCCGCGGUGCAUUAGCUGGUUGGUGAGGUAACGGCUCACCAGGGCCACGAUGCAUAGCCGACCUGCGAGGGUGACCGUCACCACUGGACCGGAGAAACGGCCCAAACUCCUCCGUGAGGCACAGGUGGGGAAUCUUCGGCAAUGGACGAAAGUCGAACCGGUCAAGGCCGCGUGAUUGUAGAGGGUUUUCGGAUCGUAAGACUCUGUUGUUAGAGAAGCGGUAUCUAAACAGAAAGCCACGGCUAACUACGUGCCAGCAGCCGCGGUAAUUC